rnacentral:rRNA from 1 species
UUCUGGCUCAGGAUGAACGCUAGCGACAGGCUUAACACAUGCAAGUCGAGGGGCAGCAUAGAAGUAGCAAUACUCGGUGGCGACCGGCGCACGGGUGAGUAACGCGUGUGCAACCUACCUAUCAGAGGGGAAUAACCCGGCGAAAGUCGGACUAAUACCGCAUAAAACAGGGGCACCGCAUGGUGAUAUUUGUUAAAGAAAUUCGCUGAUAGAUGGGCAUGCGUUCCAUUAGGUAGUUGGUGAGGUAACGGCUCACCAAGCCGACGAUGGAUAGGGGAACUGAGAGGUUGGUCCCCCACACUGGUACUGAGACACGGACCAGACUCCUACGGGAGGCAGCAGUGAGGAAUAUUGGUCAAUGGGCGGGAGCCUGAACCAGCCAAGUCGCGUGAAGGAAAAGAAGGAUCUAUGGUUCGUAAACUUCUUUUGCAGGGGAAUAAAGUGCAGGACGUGUCCUGUUUUGUAUGUACCCUGAGAAUAAGGAUCGGCUAACUCCGUGCCAGCAGCUGC